GCCGCCGCCGGUGAACUCGUUCGCCGAGAUCGACCUCGGCGGCGCGCUGAACGAGAACAUAAGGAGGUGCCGGUGAAUUUCUUCUACUUUUUUGAAAUACCAACCAGUUAUCUUUCAAUUUCCUGCAAUUUUCUGGAUUUAGGGUUUGAUGUCAAAUUGGUUUAGGGCUUAAUCUUAAAAAAACAUGAUAUCUUGAUAUUUCAAUGUCCCAUUGUCAAUUCUGGAGAUGGAUAAGUCCAAGAUCACUCUCCCAGUUCUUAAAAGACUGGGAUUUCACAGGUCAAUGCUUUAUCACGUUUUUUUAAGAUUAGAAGUUUCUUUCUUCAGAUUCCUGCAAAUUUUGUUGUUGUAGGGUUUAAGGUCAAAUUCGAUUUUUCUUUUGUUACUUUGUGCCAUUUUCUUUGUUGAAUGAACAAAAAGGAAAGAUGAAGUCUUGAUAACAUAAUUGUUAUAGUACUGUCUAAUGAUGCAUCCGUUGGUUAAUUUCCGAGGGGGUUUGAAUGAAGAUGAAGAUUAAAUCAUUUAAGUGAGUAAUCACUGAGUUAUUAGUCUUGUAGAAGGGUUAAGUGCUUUUUUUUAUUUAUCAUUAGAAGGACGCCAUGACCUUGAUGAUGUUUCUUGUGUCUGCUGAUUAAAUUGCUGCUUGGAAAAUGCUUACUUGCUACUUAGAAAAUGUUUGUGAUAUUUACAUGUCUGUAAUAAGCAUAUUGUUAUGGACAACUUUCAGAGGCUAUUACAUCCUUUAUAGCUCUUAGUUUGCAAUAUUUGCAUAUCUGUAUGCAUAUUGUUGUGAAUUUUAUUACUUAAGUCCCAUUGUGUGCAGGAAAAUUCUGUGUUGUGAUGCUUAGCGGCCUGCUUACUUCUUUCUUCUUUUUAGUUUUUCUUGAAGGCGUACUGAGUUUGUUGCUCUGGAAAUGUCUUGGGGAAUGUUGGGUAAGCAAAAUAUUCCAGUUUAUUCUGUUGUAUUUUGAGUAUGUUACACUAGUAUAUUGUUGAUGUAAUGAUAAUUGCUCCAUAAUAUGUAGUUCUCAGUGAUAUUUAGAAUUAGUUACUCAACCUUAUCCUGGACACUUUACAUGUUUAAGAAUCUACUGCUAUGUUCAGACAUCUUGCACUACCUCUUAGACCUAACAACUUCACCCAUCAUUGCUAUUUUCUCUUAUUAUAUCUAAGUCAUUGCAGGUAUUCCUUUCCUUAGCUUAUUUACAUUGGACACAAAUUCAAUCUUACUCUUAAUCCUUUUUACAUUAGUACUAACAUGUUGUUUAUCUUUCCUGAAUCAUAUGGCUCUAAAUGUCUCAACUCAAGAAGUUAGUAGUUGGUAUUUGUAUGGUACGGCCACCUUUUUAUUCUAAUUUCAUCCAAUCACCAUCUGUUCCUAUGCCUUUCCUAUGAUUUGAAUUUGAUCUAACCUCCUAUGCCUUUUCUAUGAUUUGAAUUUGAUCUAUGACUUGAACAAGAUUGGGAGAAUAUAAUACUGAAAUAUGGUCUCUGUGCAUGUAUUUGAUGUAUUGGCCUGAUUAAAUUGAGAAAUAUGAUUUAACCUUUAACCUGUAGUAACUUUCCUUAAAAUAAAUUUCUUUUUGAUGUUCUAAUAUUCACUUUAUCUGGCAUAAUAACAGGUCAGCUCUUGUCUAGAUUGAAAAAAUGUAGUAUGCCAAGAGGAAUCAUGAUUUGACUCUACCAGUAUUUUGGAUUCCGAUUCAGAUGAUGACUUUAUUAGCGUUCAUGGAGACAGCUUUUGGAUAAUUCUUUGGCAAUGACAUCAGCUUCUUGCCCUAUGAUCGAAUCUCUAGGCCUGGUUCAUCAGCCGACGUAUGAGGAUAUCUGCGGCGGGGGGACGAAGCAUUCUGAGGUUGUUAGGGUUAUCCGUGUACCGAGGGAGUGUAGGUACGAGUAAAUGUAUAGGGAAGGAGUUGAAGAAGCUUCUGCAGUGUCAUAGCCAUUGUAAAUGAUUUAUGUAAAAGUUUGUAAACAAUUUAUGUAUCUCUCUACUAUUUUGGUGAAUGUAUUAUUUGAAUAUAA